rnacentral:rRNA from 1 species
AUCCCUACGGGGCGCAGCAGUGGGGAAUAUUGCACAAUGGGGGAAACCCUGAUGCAGCGACGCCGCGUGAAGGAAGAAGUAUUUCGGUAUGUAAACUUCUAUCAGCAGGGAAGAAAAUGACGGUACCUGACUAAGAAGCCCCGGCUAACUACGUGCCAGCAGCCGCGGUAAUACGUAUGGUGCAAGCGUUAUCCGGAUUUACUGGGUGUAAAGGGAGCGCAGGCGGUACGGCA